UUCUAAGGAUCCUCAAAUUUUCUAAACUUAUCUUUGCUUUACUAUAUCGAAUACCCUAAAAUUAAAACACAUUGUUUAGAAUUAUACCAGAUUUUCUUAACUACACUGCUUUAUGUUUGUAGGUGAUAUAAGCACACCAGUAUUUGUGAAUCGUAGUAGUCAGUUUUCUGCGAUCUCAACGGAAUCAACUUUCGAUAAAACAGUGAAGCCUACUUUAACAAACAUUUCAGAUGUAAAAAGACCUGGUAAAGCGAAUGAUAAAAUUGAUUUGUGUAUCAAAAUUACUGCUGGAGGUGCUGCAUCUUUUGCAACCAUUUUUAUUUUUCUCCUGGUCAUUAUCUUUAUCCAAAGACGAAAAUUGAUGAAAGCUUCCUACACCACUUUAACAGUACGACGAGAUCAGAACAACUACAACGAAAUACCACAUCAAAUGUCAGAUUCCGUUACAGGGCAAUACUAUGAGGUGUCACCGUUAUCAGAAAUCUCUGCUUCAGGAGGCAAACCCACUGUCCAACAGAACAUAGAUCAAAUACAACACAUUGAUACAUCUGGAUAUCUUAUCCCUUCUAGCAUGCUACAGACGAGCGGAGACUAUCAUACAAUCGCAGACUAAUUUGAAAAUUUCACAUUAUAGUUUGUAAAUAUUUUACACUUUGAAUGCACAGACAUGUACAUUAGUUAUUUUGUACAUGUAAUGUAAUUCAUUUGAUCGUUUGUUUUGUACAUUAACAUUUUUCUCAAGAUUAGUGUACUACUACAUAAUUUGAACUCUUCACUAUAAUUGAAAGUGUUUUAAGUUUUUUCAAAUAUCAAUGCACAUCUAUGUUUUGUUAUAGUUCAGUUAUAGGUCAGUAUUAUUAUCUUUGCUAUGUUUUUUUUUUUAUAAUAAGCAAGUUAAUAUUGUAUUACCUUCCAAGGACAAUAUACCAAAGCGAUUUUUUGUAUUAGAGACAGACAUGACAAUUGGGUUUUGCUGCUUCUAUGCUUAGCAUGUGGCAUUUGCAUUUGAGGUAUAGCAAAAACUGCUCGACACGCAGUCAAAAUAAUGUAUCCAGGAAGGGCGACAUGUUUUCUUGCGGACUGUUAUCAUUGUACUAGUUAAAGAUCCGUUCCAUUCUGUCAACGUGUCCGUCUAAUACAAAGCAGUGUACAAAGCUCAUAUUCUUGUUACACGUUCUUGCCUAAUAUGAAUGUAAUAUAUUUCUGUAGUGUUGGAUAUUUAUAUGCAUAUGCUUAUUUUGGUAAGAUGUUCCACUACAUUAAGAUUUUUGUAACGUGAAUGUUUGCCACGCCAUCAGUACUAUAUAACCUAUGGCAUAUACUAGUAUUUGUACAGAUUGCCAGUCUAAUAUAAAUAUAGAUCUCUGA